GGGCGCGAUCGCAGCUAUAUGCAGUCGUACAAGGGUAAGCUUUCGGGUAGUUGAGAGUGGCGAACGGGUGCGUAACGCGUAUGCAACCUACCCCAUACAGGGGGAUAGCCCGGAGAAAUCUGGAUUAAUACCCCAUGGCAUCAUUUAUCCGCAUGGAUUUGUGAUUAAAGAUUCAUCGGUAUGGGAUGGGCAUGCGUCUGAUUAGCUUGUUGGCGGUGUAACGGACCACCAAGGCUACGAUCAGUAGGGGUUCUGAGAGGAAGGUCCCCCACACUGGCACUGAGAUACGGGCCAGACUCCUACGGGAGGCAGCAGUAGGGAAUAUUGGGCAAUGGACGAGAGUCUGACCCAGCCAUGCCGCGUGCAGGAAGACGGCGUUCUGCGUUGUAAACUGCUUUUAUCUGGGAAGAAAAAGCCCCUGCGGGGGAAAUUGCCGGUACCAGAUGAAUAAGCACCGGCUAACUCCGUGCCAGCAGCCGCGGUAAUACGGAGGGUGCAAGCGUUGUCCGGAUUUAUUGGGUUUAAAGGGUGCGUAGGCGGCUGUUUAAGUCAGUGGUGAAAGACCCCGGCUCAACCGGGGCAGUGCCAUUGAUACUGGGCAGCUUGAGUGUUGGAGGGGUACAUGGAAUUGAUGGUGUAGCGGUGAAAUGCAUAGAUACCAUCAGGAACACCGAUAGCGAAGGCAUUGUACUGGCCAACAACUGACGCUGAUGCACGAAAGCAUGGGUAGCGAACAGGAUUAGAUACCCUGGUAGUCCAUGCCGUANACGAUGAUUACUCGCUGUUAUGGCUUUAUGUUGUAGCGGCCAAGCGAAAGCGUUAAGUAAUCCACCUGGGGAGUACGCCC
rnacentral:rRNA from 1 species